GCUGGGUAUGGUGGCACACACCUGUCAUCCCAGUGGCUUGGGAGGCUGAGGCAGGAGGAUCACAAGUUGGAGGCCAGCCUCUGCAACUCAGCAAGGCCCUGAGAAACUCAGUGAGACCCUGUCUCUG
rnacentral:sRNA from 1 species